AGAGUUUGAUCAUGGCUCAGGAUGAACGCUGGCGGCGUGCUUAACACAUGCAAGUCGAACGAACCUUCGGGUUAGUGGCGGACGGGUGAGUAACGCGUGAGAAUCUGCCCUCAGGAGGGGGAUAACGGUUGGAAACGACCGCUAAUACCCCAUAUGCCUAUUGGUGAAACGAAUUUCGCCUGAGGAUGAGCUCGCGUCUGAUUAGCUAGUUGGUGAGGUAAUGGCUCACCAAGGCUUCGAUCAGUAGCUGGUCUGAGAGGAUGAUCAGCCACACUGGGACUGAGACACGGCCCAGACUCCUACGGGAGGCAGCAGUGGGGAAUUUUCCGCAAUGGGCGAAAGCCUGACGGAGCAACGCCGCGUGAGGGACGAAGGCCUCUGGGCUGUAAACCUCUUUUCUCAAGGAAGAAGAUAUGACGGUACUUGAGGAAUAAGCCACGGCUAAUUCCGUGCCAGCAGCCGCGGUAAUACGGGAGUGGCAAGCGUUAUCCGGAAUUAUUGGGCGUAAAGCGUCCGCAGGCGGCUUUUCAAGUCUGCUGUUAAAGCGUGGAGCUUAACUCCAUUAUGGCAGUGGAAACUGAAAGGCUUGAGUAUGGUAGGGGCAGAGGGAAUUCCCGGUGUAGCGGUGAAAUGCGUAGAUAUCGGGAAGAACACCAGUGGCGAAGGCGCUCUGCUGGGCCAUUACUGACGCUCAUGGACGAAAGCCAGGGGAGCGAAAGGGAUUAGAUACCCCUGUAGUCCUGGCCGUAAACGAUGAACACUAGGUGUCGGGGGAAUCGACCCCUUCGGUGUCGUAGCUAACGCGUUAAGUGUUCCGCCUGGGGAGUACGCACGCAAGUGUGAAACUCAAAGGAAUUGACGGGGGCCCGCACAAGCGGUGGAGUAUGUGGUUUAAUUCGAUGCAACGCGAAGAACCUUACCAGGGUUUGACAUCCUGCGAACCUCUUAGAAAUUUGAGGGUGCCUUCGGGAAUGCAGUGACAGGUGGUGCAUGGCUGUCGUCAGCUCGUGUCGUGAGAUGUUGGGUUAAGUCCCGCAACGAGCGCAACCCACGUUUUUAGUUGCCAGCAUUUAGUUGGGCACUCUAGAAAGACCGCCGGUGAUAAACCGGAGGAAGGUGUGGAUGACGUCAAGUCAUCAUGCCCCUUACACCCUGGGCUACACACGUACUACAAUGCUACGGACAAAGGGCAGCAAACUCGUGAGAGCUAGCAAAUCCCAUAAACCGUGGCUCAGUUCAGAUCGUAGGCUGCAACUCGCCUACGUGAAGUAGGAAUCGCUAGUAAUCGCAGGUCAGCAUACUGCGGUGAAUACGUUCCCGGGCCUUGUAGA
rnacentral:rRNA from 1 species